UGAACUUAAGGAACAGUCAUACCCAGUGGUUACAGGAAUGUCAAAUCCAUGGCCCGCGCAGGAGGCUGGCAUCCUGAUCAUCUCACCUCAGCCUCUAAAGCCCUCGGACUGCAGAGAACCUUAACUAAUGCAGGCAGUGUGGUCAGACUCUUAAGUUCCUGCUCUUCACUCAAUACAAUCCUUCUAGGAGGCAGUUUGAAAAGGAAGCACCAAUACCAAGGAAAUAAACCCUGCAUGAAGAAAGUCAGCCGGCAAUCGGCCACAGCUUAAACCCAGCCCCUCAGGCAGUGGAGAAGCUGGGGGAGCAGGAAGUUCUGAGCUUCCAGAAGCUUCACAGUUUCAGUAACUCCCCAUUAGGAAGCACCGGCAGCAACGUGGGCCUGGCUGAGGAAUCUGGCAGUGGGAAGGUAGCCCUGAAGUGUUUCUAGGAUUAUCAGGAAAAGCACUCCAAAGAAUGGCUGCACAGUUUUAUGUGCAUAUCACCAAGAUGAAUGGAAAAUAAGAAAUAAAAGAAAAGGGUCUGACUGCU
ensembl:lncRNA